rnacentral:rRNA from 1 species
UACAGAGACUGCAAGCGUUAUUCGGAUUCACUGGGCGUAAAGGGUGCGCAGGCGGCCAAGUGUGUGAGGCGUGAAAGCCCGGGGCUUAACCCCGGAAUUGCACCUCAAACUGCAUGGCUAGAGCAUUGGAGAGGGUAGCAGAAUUCAUGGUGUAGCAGUGAAAUGCGUAGAUAUCAUGAGGAAUACCAGAGGCGAAGGCGGCUACCUGGACAAUUGCUGACGCUCAGGCACGAAAGCGUGGGGAGCAAAAGGG